UCGAACGAGAAAGGGGAGCAAUCCCUGAGUACAGUGGCGUACGGGUGAGUAACACGUGGAUGAUCUAUCUCUUAGUGGGGAAUAACCCUGGGAAACCGGGGAUAAUACCGCAUAAGCUCGAGAGAGGAAAGCAGCAAUGCGCUGAGAGAGGAGUCCGCGGCCGAUUAGCUAGUUGGCAGGGUAAAAGCCUACCAAGGCAGAGAUCGGUAGCCGGCCUGAGAGGGCACACGGCCACACUGGCACUGAAACACGGGCCAGACUCCUACGGGAGGCAGCAGUGGGGAAUCUUGCACAAUGGGGGAAACCCUGAUGCAGCGACGCCGCGUGAGCGAUGAAGCCCUUCGGGGUGUAAAGCUCUUUCGGCAGGGAAGAUAAUGACGGUACCUGCAGAAGCAGCUGCGGCUAACUACGUGCCAGCAGCCGCGGUAAUACGUAGGCAGCGAGCGUUGUUCGGAGUUACUGGGCGUAAAGGGUGUGUAGGCGGUUGUUUAAGUUUGGUGUGAAAUCUCCCGGCUCAACUGGGAGGGUGCGCCGAAUACUGAAUGACUUGGAGUGCGGGAGAGGAGAGUGGAAUUCCUGGUGUAGCGGUGAAAUGCGUAGAUAUCAGGAGGAACACCGGUGGUGUAGACGGCUCUCUGGACCGUAACUGACGCUGAGACACGAAAGCGUGGGUAGCAAACAGGAUUAGAUACCCUGGUAGUCCACGCCCUAAACGAUGCAUAUUUGGUGUGGGCAGUUCAUUCUGUCCGUGCCGGAGCUAACGCGUUAAAUAUGCCGCCUGGGGAGUACAGUCGCAAGGCUGA
rnacentral:rRNA from 1 species